GGAAGGUGAUGAUGCAGCAACCAGUGAUGGGGACGAAGAAGAUGAUGAUGACUUGAAGGUCGAUGAAGCUAAGGUUGAUGAGAGCAGGCAGAUGGACUUUGCAAAGGUUGAAAAACGUGUUCGAACUACUGGUGGUGGUAGCACAGGAACUGUUAGGUAUGGACUACAAAACAUCAUCACGUAAUGUCUAAUUGGUUGGAUUCUUUUAUUUGAUGCACUAAUCGUGUAACCCUUCUUCUUGAUUUCAGGAAUCUGCGUAUCAGAGAAGACACAGCGAAAUACCUGUUGAACCUUGAUAUCAAUUCGGCUCAUUAUGACCCUAAAACACGAUCCAUGCGUGAAGACCCACUUCCAGAUGCAGAUCCGAAUGAUAAAUUUUAUUUGGUUAGUUGUAGUUUAUCGCUAUUGUAUCCCGCAUUCUGAUAAUCUAAGGUACUAAACCAUAUUUUUGCUUACCAUCUAUCCAGGGAGAUAAUCAGUAUAGAAACAGUGGACAAGCUCUAGAGUUCAAACAGAUGAACAUCCACUCAUGGGAAGCAUUUGACAAGGGACAGGACAUGCAUAUGCAAGCGGCUCCAUCCCAAGCUGAGUUGCUAUACAAGAACUUCAAGGUCGCGAAGGACAAACUGAAGACUCAGACAAAGGACACAAUCAUGGAGAAGUAUGGGAAUGCUUCUACAGAAGAUGAAAUUCCAAUGGAGCUUUUGCUUGGGCAGAGUGAAAGACAAGUUGAGUAUGACCGAGCAGGGAGGAUUAUAAAGGGACAGGUACGGUUUUUAAUAUUUUAACUUCACGAACCAUUCACUCAGAGCAAUGUGAACUCCUUGUGGUAUGUUGUGCUUUUGUGUGGAUCGAUUUGAUUCUUAAUAGGUGUUUGUUUUGUACACAGGAGGUUAUACUGCCAAAGAGCAAAUACGAAGAAGAUGUUCUUGCUAACAAUCACACAAGCGUUUGGGGCUCAUGGUGGAAAGACCAUCAAUGGGGAUAUAGAUGUUGCCAGCAGACAAUUCGCAAUAGUUACUGCACAGGCUCUGCUGGUAUUGAGGCCGCGGAGGCAUCCCUUGAUCUGAUGAAGGCUAACAUUGCUCGCAAAGAAGCCUGUGAAGGUUUGUGUUGCUGACUCUGUUUGUUAUUUCAGUUCCUUAUAUCUUUUUAUUGGAUUGGUUGAAAAAACUGCUCGAGGAAUAGCUUAUGACACACACACUUCUGCGUAUGUUUUUGUAAUGUUGUUGUUUGUACGCAUGUGCUAACAAAACAAUGAAUGGUGUUUUUGGUGAACAGAGAGCCCAAAGAAGGUUGAAGAGAAGAGAAUGGCCGCAUGGGGAUCUGAUGUUCCUGAAGAUUUGGAGUUGAACGAGGAGGCACUUGCUAAUGCUCUUAAAAAGG
rnacentral:lncRNA from 1 species